UACGUAGGGUGCGAGCGUUGUCCGGAAUUAUUGGGCGUAAAGAGCUCGUAGGCGGUGUGUCGCGUCGGCCGUGAAAACCUGCAGCUUAACUGUGGGCUUGCGGUCGAUACGGGCAUCACUGGAGUUCGGCAGGGGAGACUGGAAUUCCUGGUGUAGCGGUGAAAUGCGCAGAUAUCAGGAGGAACACCCGUGGCGAAGGCGGCCAUCUGGACCAGUACUGACGCUGGAGGCAACGAAAGCGUGGGGAGCAAACAGG
rnacentral:rRNA from 1 species